GAGUGAACGCUGGCGGCGUGCUUAACACAUGCAAGUCGAACGAGAACGGAUUAUAGCUUGCUAUAAUUGUCAGCUAAGUGGCGCACGGGUGAGUAAUAUAUAGUUAACCUGCCCUCAAGAAAGGAAUAACAGUUGGAAACGACUGCUAAUGCCCUAUAUGCCUUUAAUACAUAAGUAUGCAAGGGAAACGCUUUAGUGCUUGAGGAUGGGACUGUAUGGUAUCAGCUUGUUGGUGAGGUAAUGGCUCACCAAGGCUAUGACGCCUAACUGGUUUGAGAGGAUGAUCAGUCACACUGGAACUGAGACACGGUCCAGGCUCCUACGGGAGGCAGCAGUGGGGAAUAUUGCACAAUGGACGAAAGUCUGAUGCAGCAACGCCGCGUGGAGGAUGACACAUUUCGGUGCGUAAACUCCUUUUAUAUAGGAAGAUAAUGACGGUACUAUAUGAAUAAGCACCGGCUAACUCCGUGCCAGCAGCCGCGGUAAUACGGAGGGUGCAAGCGUUACUCGGAAUCACUGGGCGUAAAGAGCGUGUAGGCGGGUAUAUAAGUCAGAAGUGAAAUCCAAUAGCUUAACUAUUGAACUGCUUUUGAAACUGUGUACCUAGAAUGUGGGAGAGGUAGAUGGAAUUUCUGGUGUAGGGGUAAAAUCCGUAGAUAUCACUAGGAAUAUCAAAAGCGAAGGCGAUCUGCUGGGAUGAUACUGACGCUGAGGCACGAAAGCGUGGGGAGCAAACAGGAUUAGAUACCCUGGUAGUCCACGCCCUAAACGAUGAAUGCUAGUCGUCGGGGAGCUCGUCUCUUCGGUGAUGCACUUAACAGAUUAAGCAUUCCGCCUGGGGAGUACGGUCGCAAGAUUAAAACUCAAAGGAAUAGACGGGGACCCGCACAAGUGGUGGAGCAUGUGGUUUAAUUCGAAAAUACACGAAGAACCUUACCUGGCCUUGACAUGGUAGGAACCCUUAAGAGAUUAGGGGGUGCUAGCUUGCUAGAACCUACACACAGGUGCUGCACGGCUGUCGUCAGCUCGUGUCGUGAGAUGUUGGGUUAAGUCCCGCAACGAGCGCAACCCUCGUCGUUAGUUGCUAACAGUUCGGCUGAGCACUCUAACGAGACUGCCUUCGUAAGGAGGAGGAAGGUGAGGACGACGUCAAGUCAUCAUGGCCCUUACGGCCAGGGCUACACACGUGCUACAAUGGGGCGUACAAAGAGCUGCAAUACCGCGAGGUGGAGCCAAUCUCUUAAAGCGUCUCUCAGUUCGGAUUGUUCUCUGCAACUCGAGAACAUGAAGCUGGAAUCACUAGUAAUCGUAGAUCAGCUAUGCUACGGUGAAUACGUUCCCGGGUCUUGUACUCACCGCCCGUCACACCAUGGGAGUUGAUUUCACCCGAAAUCGGGAUGCCAAACUGGCUACCGCUUACGGUGGAAUUAGCGACUGGGGU
rnacentral:rRNA from 1 species